rnacentral:lncRNA from 1 species
GCAAUAUUGUGGCAAGUGAGGGAUGUCUGUCAGUAACGUUAUUAAUGAACAAAGGUAGGGUGUUUAAGUGGGAUUUUAAAUAAAGACUGAUAAAUCUUGGCAAGGAAUAAAGAUGCUUAAAUUGAUAUUAUUUGGAACGCUGCUUGGCCUUGUCGUUGGUCAAUUCAAUCCUCAGAGCUAUAUGAUGAUGCAAAUGAUGCAAAACAUGGCUGGUGGUGCCUCUGGCGGUGCCAGUCAAGGCAAUUCCGGCGGUUCCAGCGGAGGUAACGAUAUAAACGGCGUAUUCCUAUGCCGUAACACGGCCAACCUUCGGUUUGUUCCAUGUGCCAACUAUAAGGAAAUAUGUGAUAUGAUCUCUAUGCGUACUUACAAUAUGCCUAAUCUUCUCAAAUGCAGCGCUUUAGGCACCGGCUGCUGUCUCCGAGACACGACUACCUUGAUGCUUGCCAGAAACUUUGCAGCAAGUUAGGCAGACGCGAUUCUCAAGUUGACACAGCAGGCAUGACAGAACCGUUAUCAACAUCUCACUGACAACCGGUCUAAAAUAGAGGAUAUAUAAGCACUUUGUCUGUUUACAAAUGCAUGUUUGUCAGAUUCUGUGUGUUUUUUAUUGUAGGAUGAAGCCUUGUGUUUGUUUUUUUUUUUAUUUUAUUAUUUUUUACUUUCCACUUAUAUACGCUCUUACAUCGCCAUUUGCAAACUUUUUAUGGGACCAGUGAGCCAUCGAUUGUACAGAAAAGUAAAGCUUAUAAAAUCUUAA